rnacentral:tRNA from 1 species
GGAGAGGUGGCUGAGAGGUUGAAAGCGCAUCCCUGCUAAGGAUGAGCAGGAGCAAUCCUGCCGAGGGUUCGAAUCCCUCCCUCUCCGCCA